rnacentral:rRNA from 1 species
UGNUCUGUCACUGACGCUGAGGCUNGAAAGCGUGGGUAGCGAACAGGAUUAGAUACCCUGGUAGUNCACGCCGUAAACGAUGAGUGCUAGGUGUUAGGCCCUUUCCGGGGCUUAGUGCCGGAGCUAACGCAAUAAGCACUCCGCCUGGGGAGUACGACCGCAAGGUUGAAACUCAAAGGAAUUGACGGGGGCCCGCACAAGCGGUGGAGCAUGUGGUUUAAUUCGAAGCAACGCGAAGAACCUUACCAGGUCUUGACAUCCCGAUGCUAUUCUUAGAGAUAGGAAGUUACUUCGGUACAUCGGAGACAGGUGGUGCAUGGUUGUCGUCAGCUCGUAUCGUGAGAUGUUGGGUNNNNNNNNNNNACGAGCGCAACCCUUAUUGUUAGUUGCCAUCAUUAAGUUGGGCACUCUAGCGAGACUGCCGGUAAUAAACCGGAGGAAGGUGGGGAUGACGUCAAAUCAUCAUGCCCCUUAUGACCUGGGCUACACACGUGCUACAAUGGUCGGUACAACGAGUUGCGAGCCGGUGACGGCAAGCUAAUCUCUGAAAGCCGAACUCAGUUCGGAUUGGAGGCUGCAACUCGCCUCCAUGAAGUCGGAAUCGCUAGUAAUCGCGGAUCAGCACGCCGCGGUGAAUACGUUCCCGGGCCU